UCAAGCGACUAAGUGUAUGUGGUGGAUGCCUUGGCGAUCACAGGCGAUGAAGGACGUGACAGCCUGCGAAAAGCUGUGGGGAGCUGGCAAAUAAGCUUUGAUCCACAGAUGUCCGAAUGAGGGAACUCACCUGCUUUGCAGGUAUCCCAUCCUGAAUAUAUAGGGAUGGGAGGCGAACGAAGCGAACUGAAACAUCUAAGUAGCUUCAGGAAAAGAAAUCAACCGAGAUUCCGAAAGUAGCGGCGAGCGAAAUCGGAUCAGCCCAGCACUCGAUAGCAGCCAACUUACGGGAACGGUCUGGAAAGUCCGGCCAUAGAGGGUGAUAGCCCCUUACUGGAAAAGGCAGCUGUGGUACUAAGUGUGCGAUAAGUAGAGCGGGACACGUGACAUCCUGCUCGAAGAUGGGGGGACCAUCCUCCAAGGCUAAAUACUCGUGAUCGACCGAUAGCGUACCAGUACUGUGAAGGAAAGGUUAAAAGAACCCCGGGAGGGGAGUGAAAUAGAUCCUGAAACCGCAUACAUACAAACAGUAGGAGCCUCGUUAAGGGGUGACUGCGUACCUUUUGCAUAAUGGGUCAGCGACUUACGUUUAAUGGCGAGCUUAACCGUAUAGGGGAGGCGCAGCGAAAGCGAGUUCGAACAGAGCGUUCAGUCGUUAGGCGUAGACCCGAAACCAGAUGAUCUAUCCAUGGCCAGGUUGAAGGUGUGGUAACACACACUGGAGGACCGAACCGACUAGUGUUGCAAAAUUAGCGGAUGAGCUGUGGAUAGGGGUGAAAGGCUAAACAAAUCUGGAGAUAGCUGGUUCUCCCCGAAAACUAUUGAGGUAGUGCCUCGUGUAUGACUCCAGGGGGUAGAGCACUGUUAUGGCUAGGGGGACAUGGCGUCUUACCAAACCAUGGCAAACUCCGAAUACUUGGAAGUUUGAGCACGGGAGACAGAGCACCGGGUGCUAACGUCCGGACUCAAAAGGGAAACAACCCAGACCGCCGGCUAAGGUCCCUAAUAUUGACUAAGUGGAAAACGAAGUGGAAAGGCUAAGACAGUCAGGAAGUUGGCUUAGAAGCAGCCAUCCUUCAAAGAAAGCGUAAUAGCUCACUGAUCGAGUCUUUCUGCGCGGAAGAUGUAACGGGGCUAAGUCAAUAACCGAAGCCGCGGAUUCACACUUGUGUGUGAGUGGUAGGGGAGCGUUCUGUAAGCCUGCGAAGGUGACUCGUAAGGGUUGCUGGAGGUAUCAGAAGUGCGAAUGCUGACAUGAGUAACGUUAAAGCGGGUGAAAAGCCCGCUCGCCGUAAGCCCAAGGUUUCCUGCUCUACGUUCAUCGGAGCAGGGUGAGUCGGCCCCUAAGGUGAGGCUGAGAAGCGUAACUGAUGGGAACAAGGUUAAUAUUCCUUGACCACCGCUGAAUGCGAAGGGGGGACGGAGUAUUGAAGAUCAUCCGGGUGUUGGAUAUCCCGGUUUGCGAGCGUAGGAGGCUGACAGGCAAAUCCGUCAGCGAAUCUCCGAGGCAAAGCAUCGAGCUCUCUUUUGAGCGAAGUGAUUGGAUGUGCUUCCAGGAAAAGCCUCUAAGCUCCAGUUCAGCGGGACCGUACCGCAAACCGACACUGGUGGGCGAGCUGAAUAUGCUCAGGCGCUUGAGAGAACUCAGGAGAAGGAACUCGGCAAAUUGACACCGUAACUUCGGGAUAAGGUGUGCCUUUGUAGCGUGGAGGGAGAAACACCCCGAGCGCGAAGAGGUCUCAGAUAAUCGGUGGCUGCGACUGUUUAUUAAAAACACAGCACUCUGCAAAGACGAAAGUCGACGUAUAGGGUGUGAUGCCUGCCCGGUGCUGGAAGAUUAAUUGAUGGGGUGCAAGCUCCUGAUCGAAGUCCCAGUAAACGGCGGCCGUAACUAUAACGGUCCUAAGGUAGCGAAAUUCCUUGUCGGGCAAGUUCCGACCUGCACGAAUGGCAUAACGAUGGCCACACUGUCUCCUCCUGAGACUCAGUGAAGUUGAAGUGUUUGUGAUGAUGCAAUCUCCCCGCGGCUAGACGGAAAGACCCCAUGAACCUUUACUGUAGCUUUGCAUUGGACUUUGAACCGAUCUGUGUAGGAUAGGCGGGAGCCUGUGAAACCACAACGCCAGUUGUGGCGGAGGCGUCCUUGAAAUACCGCCCUGAUUUGUUUGAGGUUCUAACCUGGGACAGUUAUCCUGUCCGGGGACCGUGCAUGGUAGGCAGUUUGACUGGG
rnacentral:rRNA from 1 species